rnacentral:rRNA from 1 species
GUUGUUGCUGGCCCUUUCAGAGCAUGUGCACACUUGGCUAUUGUUUCUUAAACCACUUGUGCACCUUUUGUAGACUUUGGGUAAAGUUUUGAGUCGAGAGUGAUCUUGGCCCUUAUACUCCAAAGUCUAUGUCUUUUCAUAUCAUUUACUCUAUGUAUAAGAAUGUUUUCUAAGGCAUUUUUUUGAUGCCUUUAAAUCAUAUACAACUUUCAACAACGGAUCUCUUGGCUCUCGCAUCGAUGAAGAACGCAGCGAAAUGCGAUAAGUAAUGUGAAUUGCAGAAUUCAGUGAAUCAUCGAAUCUUUGAACGCACCUUGCGCUCCUUGGUAUUCCGAGGAGCAUGCCUGUUUGAGUGUUAUGAAAUUCUCAACCUUUGUUACUUUUUUGUUUCAAAGUGUUUGGAUGUGGGAGUUGCUGGCUUUUUGUGUUCAAAGAGUCAGCUCUUCUGAAAUACAUUAGUGGGACCCAUCGUUGAUUUAGCCCCUGGUGUGAUAGUUAUCUACGCCGUGGCUUAGCACGAUAUUGUGUGGUUCAGCUUUCUAACAGGACAAUUAACUGUCUUUGAUCAUUUUGACCUCAAAUCAGGUAGGACUACCCGCUGAACUUAAGCAUAUCAA